rnacentral:rRNA from 1 species
CACGUAGGGGCGAGCGUUGUCCGGAUUUAUUGGGCGUAAAGAGCUCGUAGGCGGUUCGGCAAGUCGGGUGUGAAACCCCAGGCUCAACCUGGGACGCCACCCGAUACUGCUGUGACUGGAGUCCGGAUAGGGGAGCGUGGAAGUCCGGUGUGAGCGGUGAAAUGACGCAGAGUAUCAAGGAGGAACACCGGUGGCGAAGGCGGGUCUCUGGGCCGAUACUGACCGCUGGAGGAGCGAAAGCGUGGGGAGCGAACAGGAUUAGACUACC